UACGGGAGGCAGCAGUGGGGAAUAUUGCACAAUGGGCGCAAGCCUGAUGCAGCCAUGCCGCGUGUAUGAAGAAGGCCUUCGGGUUGUAAAGUACUUUCAGUCGUGAGGAAGGUGUUAAGGUUAAUAACCUUAGCAAUUGACGUUAGCGACAGAAGAAGCACCGGCUAACUCCGUGCCAGCAGCCGCGGUAAUACGGAGGGUGCGAGCGUUAAUCGGAAUUACUGGGCGUAAAGGGCACGCAGGCGGUUAAUUAAGUUGGAUGUGAAAUCCCCGGGCUUGACCUGGGAAUGGCAUUCAAGACUGGUUAGCUAGAGUCUUGUAGAGGGGGUAGAAUUCCAUGUGUAGCGGUGAAAUGCGUAGAGAUGUGGAGGAAUACCGGUGGCGAAGGCGGCCCCUGGACAAAGACUGACGCUCAUGUGCGAAAGCGUGGGGAGCAAACAGGGAUUAGAUACC
rnacentral:rRNA from 1 species